rnacentral:ncRNA from 2 species
AAGCACCGCGGGGGGUGGUUAUCCGUUUUUAUGGAUAGCCUGAGAGUAUACCCCUUGAACCUGAUGCAGGUAAUCCUGCCGUAGGGAAGCGGGCGUUGGAAAAA